rnacentral:rRNA from 1 species
UACAUGGGGUGCAAACGUUGCUCGGAAUCAUUGGGCGUAAAGCGCGCGUAGGCGGUUACUUAAGUCGGAUGUGAAAGCCCUCGGCUUAACUGAGGAAGUGCAUCCGAAACUGAGUAGCUGGAGUACGAAAGAGGGUCGCGGAAUUCCCGGUGUAGAGGUGAAAUUCGUAGAUAUCGGGAGGAACACCGGUGGCGAAGGCGGCGACCUGGGUCGAGACUGACGCUGAUGCGCGAAAGCCAGGGGAGCGAACGGG